rnacentral:rRNA from 1 species
GCGUGACAUUAGUUAGUUGGUGAGGUAACGGCUCACCAAAACGAUGAUGUCUAGGGGUUCUGAGAGGAUUAUCCCCCACACUGGUGCUGAGACACGGACCAGACUCCUACGGGAGGCAGCAGUGAGGAAUAUUGGUCAAUGGACGCAAGUCUGAACCAGCCAUGCCGCGUGCAGGAUGACGGCCCUAUGGGUUGUAAACUGCUUUUCCACGGGAAGAACCCUCCGACGUGUCGGAGACUGACGGUACCGUGGGAAUAAGCAUCGGCUAACUCCGUGCCAGCAGCCGCGGUAAUACGGAGGAUGCAAGCGUUAUCCGGAUUUAUUGGGUUUAAAGGGUGCGUAGGUGGGCUUAUAAGUCAGCGGUGAAAUCCCCCGGCUCAACCAGGGAAUUGCCGUUGAUACUGUUAGCCUUGAGUACAGUUGAAGUGGGCGGAAUGUAGCAUGUAGCGGUGAAAUGCAUAGAUAUGCUACAGAACACCAAUAGCGAAGGCAGCUCACUAAGUUGUAACUGACACUAAUGCACGAAAGCGUGGGGAUCAAACAGGAUUAGAUACCCUGGUAGUCCACGCUGUAAACGAUGAUCACUCGUUGUUGGCGAUAUACAGUCAGCGACUGAACGAAAGUAUUAAG